rnacentral:lncRNA from 1 species
UAACAGCUCCUUAAAGAUGAAUAAAUGAUCUUGGCCAGAUAAGUAAUAGCUAUAUUUUCUGAAAACAUCAUAUUUUCAGAUUCCUUAUAUAUUUCCCGCAUAGAAAAUUAUAUACAGUUUUUCUUUUUCUCUUCGGCAAAAUCUGGUGACUCACAUUGGCCGCAUAUCUCAGAAUGGACGAGCACAGGACCCAAACCGUAUCCAUACGGUAUCCAUACCGUGUUCAGCGAACG